UACGUAGGGGCCUAGCGUUGUCCGGAAUUAUUGGGCGUAAAGAGCGCGCAGGCGGUCGUUCAAGUCGCGUGUGAAAGCCCCCGGCUCAACUGGGGAGGGUCACGCGAUACUGAUCGACUCGAAGGCAGGAGAGGGUAGUGGAAUUCCCGGUGUAGUGGUGAAAUGCGUAGAUAUCGGGAGGAACACCAGUGGCGAAGGCGACUACCUGGCCUGUUCUUGACGCUGAGGCGCGAAAGCGUGGGGAGCAAACAGG
rnacentral:rRNA from 1 species